rnacentral:rRNA from 1 species
UGAGUAACCUGCCCUUAACUCUGGGAUAAGCCUGGGAAACUGGGUCUAAUACCGGAUAUAACUCCUCAUCGCAUGGUGGGGGGUGGAAAGCUUUUUGUGGUUUUGGAUGGACUCGCGGCCUAUCAGCUUGUUGGUGAGGUAAUGGCUCACCAAGGCGACGACGGGUAGCCGGCCUGAGAGGGUGACCGGCCACACUGGGACUGAGACACGGCCCAGACCUCCGUACGGGAGGCAG